rnacentral:rRNA from 1 species
CGGUGAAGAUCUAGCGGCGAACAGGUGAGUAACACGUGAGAAACCUGCCCUGAACUUUGGGAUAACACGAGGAAACUCGUGCUAAUACCGAAUACCUCCAUCUGGUCGCAUGGCCGGAUGAAGAAAGAUUUAUCGGUUCGGGAGGGUCUCGCGGCCUAUCAGCUAGUUGGCGGGGUAACGGCCCACCAAGGCAUCGACGGGUAGCUGGUCUGAGAGGACGAUCAGCCACACUGGGACUGAGACACGGCCCAGACUCCUACGGGAGGCAGCAGUGGGGAAUCUUGCGCAAUGGGCGAAAGCCUGACGCAGCAACGCCGCGUGCGGGAUGAAGGCCUUCGGGUUGUAAACCGCUUUCAGCAGGGAAGAAAAUUGACGGUACCUGCAGAAGAAGCCCCGGGCAACUACGUGCCAGCAGCCGCGGUAACACGUAGGGGGCGAGCGUUGUCCGGAUUUAUUGGGCGUAAAAGAGCUCGUAGGCGGUUCGGUAAGUCGGGUGUGAAACCUCCAGGCUCAACCUGGAGACGCCAACUGAUACUGCUGUGACUAGAGUCCGGUAGGGG